rfam:Cucumis melo, WGS project CAJI01000000 data, contig: 32504
GUCGGGAUAGCUCAAUUGGUAGAGUAGAGGACUGAAAAUCCUCGUGUCACUAGUUCAAAUCUGGUUCUUGGCA